AAGGUAAAGAUGUAAAUGUUAUAUAAAAAGAUUUAUAUAAGUAAUGAGCUUUGAUAGAUUGCUUGAUUUUGGUUUAGUCAAUUGGCAGGUAAAUAUGAAAAAAGAUCAGUCUGUCCUUUUGCUAGGCUUAUGUAAAAUAUGGAGCUUACAUCUUUUCAACUCUGCUUCCACGUUAUGAGUUGAGCAUACACACGUGUUGAGCAUGGAGCUAUAACACUUGUCGAUUAUCAAGACAUGUACUGGUUACUUUUUAUAUAUUAAUAGAUAUUAAUAGAUUUUAAUUCCCUCCAAAUAUUUUAAUAGAAUUUACUUUCCCUCCUAAACCAAAAACGAGAAAGGAAACACGAGCAAUAAUUAAUUCAUCACCUUCCUUACUAACAUGUCAAGUACACUUAGAAACACAACUCAAUUCAUACCAUUUUAGAAUCAAAAUCCUAACCGCAACCCUAGCUCAAUUUCCCCAAUUUCAUGAUAUUGACUCGGGUUCUGCGUUCCUCUCUCUCGCCGUCGUGGUGUUCUUCACUGCUUUGCUCACAUCGUGUUAUGCUUGCAUCGCAUUCUGCUCUGCUCGUGUCAUGUGCUUCUUCUCGCAUCGUGUUCUGCUCUGCUCCGCCAUGUUCGAUCUUCAGCUCGUGUCAUUCUGAAACACUCACUUUGCUCCGCCGUGGUGUUGUUCACAUCUUCCUCUCAAAUUUCUCAGAUGUUGGAGUUGGCUGGAAAUUCCUUCAGUUCAAUUGAGUUAGCGCUAAGUUUUUCGCCAUGCUUCCAAUUACGUUCACUUCUUUUUUCUGCUUCUCUCUUUGCAAAUUAGGUUUGCUUUCAUAGCUACAAUAUUUGGGGAAUUAUUGGAAGCUUUGUCUUGGCUACAGCUACCUCAAGUGCUUAAACAUUUGAUGGUUUUUUAGUGCAAUAGCUAUUUCAAUGGUUUUAUCUUGUAAAGUUGUAAACAAUGGUUUGGUUGCUUGAUGGAUUUUGUGUGCAAUAGCUAUUUCAAUGAAAAAUUUGUUUUACUACUUUAACUUAUAAAAAAUAAUUUAACUUAACCUGAAGGCUACUCAAUGUGAUCAUUGAUCAGUUUGAAAUUUACAUAUAUGCUGUUGUUUAGUAUUUUGUAAUCUAUAUAUUAUUUUAUUAGCUGAGUAGUUGUAGGGUCAAGUCUUGUUUUGUUUCCUUUUUUAGCUAAAUUGUGUCUCCCAUUUAAAUAUAAGGUAUUGGUACAAAUUAGAAUGUUCCGUGCCUGCAUUUGUUUUUUGCUCUUCCUGAGAUUGCACAUGCAUAGAUAGAUACUCCUUUAAUUUAAGCCAUUAGUAAUUGUAAUUAUUUAAUUUAAAACAUUAAUUGGUGGGCAUGUGAUUCAUCUACUACUAAAUAAUAUGUAUGGACAGAUUGGGGCGAGAAGUAAGCCAUGUAUGUUAAUGGAAAUUAACCUAAAAAUGGUUCAUAAAGCUAAGCUACACAUUGCACAUGUGCCUCCACAACUUUGAUGAACUAUACACAAUACAGACAUGCAUUGCAUAACUUUGUAUUUAUGUUCGUUAUAUAUCAUAUGUGUGUUUGUGCCUUAUUGAUUUAGUUUAAGGGGGGAAGUCCAUUUGAAUUAAGUGUAAUUAAAAAACCUGGGUACCUCAUCAUUGCAUUGUAAUCUUCCCAUUUAGUUAGAGGUCAGUAUUUGUUUAGAUAUAAAAGCACAUGCAUUUCUAUGUUUAAAUUUUCAUAUAGAAAUCAGUGUUUUUGUCUUCGCUAGUUGCUACUUAGUAAUAAAUUUCAUUGUUUUUCAUGGUAUCUCCAAGUACUAGUCAUUUCAAUUAAUUAGAUGUCCUCUUGACAUUAGAAUUUUACUGCAUGCAGAUCUAUAAUUUGGACAGCACAGACUUUGCAAUUCUCUUGCAGUUUCAUUUAAGCUCUAUGAUUUGGACAGCACAGGCUUUAUAGAAUGCCAAGAGGUGCUAUUAGAUUGAUUCUUUGGACACUUUGGCUCUACUCGGUGACCAUGACCGCUUUGCCACUUCCGUUGAAUGGAUUGAACAAAACUGUUUCUUUGUUUGAGACGACAAUCAGAGUUCUUGGAAGAUUGCUUUCGGCUCAUCUUAUAGCCAAUGAUUACGCUACGGGAUGUGAUGAUUGGUGCCAUUCCAAGCUAUGAGGAGCCGUAUAUUCAAGUUCCAAGGGUCUUAAGUAUGGACUAAAAACUUUGUAAAGUAAUCCAUGUCUCGGCUCAGGGAAUCUUAAUAGGGACCUUAGCAAACCAUUUAUUGAUAAUUCAUUGAAGGUGGAGCAGAGGCUGAAAUAAACUCAUAGUGAAGUUGACUCGGUGAAAGACCUGAAUGAAUCAAUCCUUCUUCAGGAUGAAGAACAUGAAAACAAAGGAAAAUAUGAGAGCUGUGAAGCUGCUAAAAGCGAUGCAUCUGAAAGGGAAGAUGCAACUGACGAGAUUUAGCAUAUGGGACAAGUCAAGCGUGGAUAUAAAAUAUGCAAGUAGAUUGACAUCUUUUUUACAAAUAUUAAUUACUAUUUUGUUAUGUAUUGUUAAAUAAGAAUUUUAUUAUUUUGUCGAGAAUUAUUGAUGAACACGUAUUUGAAAUACUAAUUGAACC